UACGUAGGCAGCGAGCGUUGUUCGGAGUUACUGGGCGUAAAGCGCGCGCAGGCGGCCUCCUAAGUCCGAUGUGAAAGCCCACGGCUCAACCGUGGAGGGUCAUUGGAAACUGGGGGACUUGAGUGCAGGAGAGAAGAGUGGAAUUCCACGUGUAGCGGUGAAAUGCGUAGAGAUGUGGAGGAACACCAGUGGCGAAGGCGGGUCUCUGGGCCGAUACUGACGCUGAGGAGCGAAAGCGUGGGGAGCGAACAGG
rnacentral:rRNA from 1 species